rnacentral:rRNA from 1 species
GACGAACGCUGGCGGCGUGCUUAACACAUGCAAGUCGAACGGUAAGGCCCUUCGGGAUACACGAGUGGCGAACGGGUGAGUAACACGUGGGUGAUCUGCCCUGCACUUCGGGAUAAGCCUGGGAAACUGGGUCUCAUACCGGAUAGGACCCUGGGAUGCAUGUCCUGGGGUGGAAAGCUUUUGCGGUGUGGGAUGGGCCCGCGGCCUAUCAGCUUGUUGGGGGGGUGAUGGCCUACCAAGGCGACGACGGGUAGCCGGCCUGAGAGGGUGACCGGCCACACUGGGACUGAGAUACGGCCCAGACUCCUACGGGAGGCAGCAGUGGGGAAUAUUGCACAAUGGGCGCAAGCCUGAUGCAGCGACGCCGCGUGAGGGAUGACGGCCUUCGGGUUGUAAACCUCUUUCAGCACCGACGAAGCGCAAGUGACGGUAGGUGCAGAAGAAGGACCGGCCAACUACGUGCCAGCAGCCGCCGUAA